rnacentral:rRNA from 1 species
UACGUAGGGGGCAAGCGUUGUCCGGAAUCAUUGGGCGUAAAGAGCGUGUAGGCGGCCAGAUAAGUCCGCUGUGAAAUCUCGAGGCUCAACUUCGAGCUGUCGGUGGAAACUGUCUGGCUAGAGUCCGGAAGAGGAGAAUGGAAUUCCUGGUGUAGCGGUGAAAUGCGUAGAUAUCGAGAGGAACACCUGCGGCGAAGGCGGGUAGCUGGGCCGACACUGACGCUGAGGCGCGAAAGCCAGGGGAGCGAACGGG